UUUUUUUUUUUUUAUUUUUACGUUUCAGUAGAUACAAAUAGCAGUUCAGAAUAUGGCUACUCCUAUCCCUUGAAGACCCAGCUGUAGUUUAAUCUAUUACCCCCUAAAAAGAGUUACCUUGGUUUUGACUUUUGCUUCAACAUCUGCGAGCUGGGACACCUUGAGGCAGAUUGUGAAGGUUGACCGUGGGAACGGGGCCCUUCAGGACAGGGUCCUGCCUCCACAGUGGAGAGACAGGGAGGGAGAGAAGAGGGUAGGACUGAGAAGGGGGGCAAGGUCCAGGGAGGUCUGAGCCUCCAGAGAGGCUCCGAGAAUCCACAUACGGACUAUUUUCCUACCGUUUAAAAAUAAUUCUCACCUGACUCUUAGGAGAGGCCCAGGCCCCCUGAGCUAUCCAGGGGUCUGCUCAGAAGCUGAGCUGUAAAACCAUAAAACAGAACCUCUCCUUUCUCUACUGGGCAGGAUUGCCAGAUAAAAUACAAGGCCCCAAGUUAAAUGUGAAUUUCAGAUAGACCACAAAUAUGUUUUAGUACAAACAUAUCCCUUGCAAUAUUUGGGACGUACUUAUACUAAAAACGUAUUUGCGGUUUGUCUGAAUUCAAUCUUAACUGGGCAUCUUGUAGUUUUACUUGCUAAAUCCGGCGACUCUACCGCCGGGGUCGGACGUGUUUGCUGACUGCAUUCUAUUCAUGGCCGCGGAGGCCUUAUUUCAGGUUGUUUGAUUCCGGUGGCUGACAAUAUGAAACAGCUUGAACAGGCAGGCCGGUGGGCAGAAGCCAUAAAUAGCCACCUCGGGGCCCCCUUGGUCGCUGGGAGCGCCACGCUGCUCUGCUAAUAAACAUGCGCUCGCUGGAGUUCUCAUCCUGGGGCUCGCGGAAGCGCUGACUCAGCACUGGGGCAGGGAGGAUGCGGGGACCCCCAGAAACAUAAUUAAACUGUUUCCAUGACUGACUCGAAAAUAUAAUUGUGUGUGGGAAGAGAAACUUGAGGGGGAAGUUAAACAACAAAUGGAGAGGUGUGGAGUGAAACCUCAGGGAAACUGUUGGUUUUGCUUCAAGGGAAUUGAAUUGUGAAACUUGCAGUUGUGAAAUUUCACUCGGUUGAUUCUUGUGAGAACCGAAGUUUGUUUUAAUUGUCAAUUAAAGCGAAUGG
rnacentral:lncRNA from 1 species